AUUGAACGCUGGCGGCAUGCUUUACACAUGCAAGUCGAACGGUAACAGGGAGCUUGCUCCGCUGACGAGUGGCGAACGGGUGAGUAAUGCGUCGGAACGUGCCGAGUAGUGGGGGAUAACGCAUCGAAAGGUGUGCUAAUACCGCAUACGUACUGAGGUAGAAAGUGGGGGACCUUCGGGCCUCACGCUAUUCGAGCGGCCGACGUCUGAUUAGCUAGUUGGUGAGGUAAAGGCUCACCAAGGCGACGAUCAGUAGCGGGUCUGAGAGGAUGAUCCGCAACACUGGGACUGGGACACGGCCCAGACUCCUACGGGAGGCAGCAGUGGGGAAUUUUGGACAAUGGGCGCAAGCCUGACUCAGCCAUGCCGCGUGUCUGAAGAAGGCCUUCGGGUUGUAAAGGACUUUUGUCCGGGAGCAAAUGCCUGGUGUUAAUAGCACUGGGAGCUGAGAGUACCGGAAGAAUAAGCACCGGCUAACUACGUUCCAGCCGCCGCGGUAAGAC
rnacentral:rRNA from 1 species